rnacentral:rRNA from 1 species
AGUUUGAUCCUGGCUCAGAACGAACGCUGGCGGCAGGCCUAACACAUGCAAGUCGAGCGAGACCUUCGGGUCUAGCGGCGGACGGGUGAGUAACGCGUGGGAAUGUGCCCUUCUCUACGGAAUAGCCUCGGGAAACUGGGAGUAAUACCGUAUACGCCCUUUGGGGGAAAGAUUUAUCGGAGAAGGAUCAGCCCGCGUUGGAUUAGGUAGUUGGUGGGGUAAUGGCCUACCAAGCCGACGAUCCAUAGCUGGUUUGAGAGGAUGAUCAGCCACACUGGGACUGAGACACGGCCCAGACUCCUACGGGAGGCAGCAGUGGGGAAUCUUAGACAAUGGGGGCAACCCUGAUCUAGCCAUGCCGCGUGAGUGAUGAAGGCCUUAGG